rnacentral:rRNA from 1 species
AUUGAACGCUGGCGGCAGGCCUAACACAUGCAAGUCGAACGAGUGGCGGGCGGGUAAGUAAUGUCUGGGCACCUGCCCGAUGGAGGGGGAUAACUACUGGCAACUGUUACUAAUACCUCCUCCCAUCGGAUGUUCCCAGAUGUGAUUAGCUUGUUGGGGGGGUAACGGCUCACCUAGUCGACGCUCCCUAGCUGGUCGGAGAGGAUGACCAGACACACUGGAACUGAGACACGGUCCAGAAUCCGACGGGAGGCAGCAUUGGGGAAUAUUGCACAAGGGGCGGAAGCCUGAUGCAGCCAUGCCGCGUGUAUGAAGAAGGCCUUCGGGGUGUAAAGUACUUUCAGCUAGGAGGCGGUACUCGCAGAAGAAGCACCGGCUAACUCCGUGCCAGCAGCCGCGGUAAUUC